UACGUAGGGUGCAGGCGUUAAUCGGAAUUACUGGGCGUAAAGCGUGCGCAGGCGGUCUCUUAAGACAGGUGUGAAAUCCCCGGGCUUAACCUGGGAACUGCGCUUGUAACUGAGAGGCUUGAGUGUGCCAGAGGGGGGUGGAAUUCCACGUGUAGCAGUGAAAUGCGUAGAGAUCAUGAGGAAGACCAGUGGCGAAGGCGGGUCUCUGGACAGUUCCUGACACUGAGACACGAAGGCCAGGGGAGCAAACGGG
rnacentral:rRNA from 1 species